rnacentral:rRNA from 1 species
AUUGAACGCUGGCGGCAUGCUUUACACAUGCAAGUCGAACGGUAACAGGUCUUCGGACGCUGACGAGUGGCGAACGGGUGAGUAAUACAUCGGAACGUGCCCAGUCGUGGGGGAUAACUACUCGAAAGAGUAGCUAAUACCGCAUACGAUCUGAGGAUGAAAGCGGGGGACCUUCGGGCCUCGCGCGAUUGGAGCGGCCGAUGGCAGAUUAGGUAGUUGGUGGGAUAAAAGCUUACCAAGCCGACGAUCUGUAGCUGGUCUGAGAGGACGACCAGCCACACUGGGACUGAGACACGGCCCAGACUCCUACGGGAGGCAGCAGUGGGGAAUUUUGGACAAUGGGCGAAAGCCUGAUCCAGCAAUGCCGCGUGCAGGAUGAAGGCCUUCGGGUUGUAAACUGCUUUUGUACGGAACGAAAAAGUCUCCUCUAAUACAGGAGGCCCAUGACGGUACCGUAAGAAUAAGCACCGGCUAACUACGUGCCAGCAGCCGCAGUAA